rnacentral:rRNA from 1 species
UUCUUAUACUAACCACUAUAAGUAAAAUCUGCUCCAUGUCCAAUAAAUAGCCGCAGAAUAUUAACUGUGCUAAGGUAGCAUAAUCAUUUACCUUUUAAUUGAAGGCCUGUAUGAACGAUUUUACAAUUAAAUUACUUUUUUAUUAACUCACAUUUAAAUUAAAAUAAACAUAAAAAUGUGUUUAUGCCCUAAAAAGACGAUAAGACCCUAUUGAACUUUACUACAGUUAAGCUGGGGAAGCUAGCUAAAUACAAUUUUAGUUUUAAAAUAAAAAAAAAGUUCUGAAAAAUCAAGUUGAACAAGUUACCAUAGGGAUAACAGCGUAAUACUUCUUUAAAGAUCUUAUUAAAAGAAAAGGUUACGACCUCGAUGUUGAAUUAGAAUUACUUUGAAACGCAAUAGUAUCAAAAGUGGGUCUGUUCGACCUUUAAACUUCUACA